AGAAGAAAAGCAAUUUCAAGGUGUAGACUUCCACUACAUAUGUUUUAGUAUUUCAGUCAUACCUCUCUAUACAAAGUUUCAAAUGAAGUGAUUCUUAGAUCAUUGGAAAGAUAAGAGAAAACUCUACAACUUUCAUGUUUACUAAUUAGCCCAAUUCAACAUGGAAGAUGGUUAAAAAUUAUGUCGAAGUUGAAUCACUGUAGCAAUCCUAGAGCAAUUACGAUUUCUGCUAAUUAAUGCGUAGUCUAAUGAGGAAAUCCUGAUUGGAAAUGACUUCUUUCUUCAUCCAACUUGGCCUAACUUCAAAGCCCUACAAAAAAUAACUUUUGAAAGACUUUUAGGAAGAGAGAACGAAACAUCAGAUUGCCGGCUGAGAGUCAAGCCACAAAGUCAUUGAAGCUAAGAAGAAUUUGAAGGAUUCAAGGAGAUUUGGAUAUCUAGAAUAUAAUUCUUGAGUUUUUGUAUCCCUUUUAUUCUCUUAUUCUCUUGGUUUUGUUUUUAAUGUUUAAAUUUCAUUUGAUGAUGAUGUGUGACUCGAU
rnacentral:lncRNA from 1 species